rnacentral:rRNA from 1 species
UACAGAGGAGCCAAGCGUUGUCCGGAUUGACUGGGCGUAAAGCGCACGCAGGCGGACGCGCGCGUGGGGUGUGAAAUCUGGCCGCUUAACGGCCAGGCGCCAUCCCAUACGGCGCGACUGGAGUGAUGCAGAGGUCGAUGGAAGUUGCCGGUGUAGUGGUGAAAUGCGUAGGAGAUCGGGCAGGAACACCCAGGGGGAAACCAGUCGACUGGGACAUCUACUGACGCUGAGGUGCGAGAGCGGUGGGGAGCGAACCGG